UAAUCCCCAAGGGGAGAUGUAGUCCACAGAUAGAUUUUUUUUCUGAGUAUUCAAAUAGUUCCUAAAGCAUAGGCCUAUAUCCGUGUUAGGUGACCAGGAUAAUUGUGACUUAGUUUCGCGCAGCAGAUAGAUCGAACCUGAAACGUGUUGGCAUCUCAGUCCCGUCUCCUUACCACUCGACCACAAUCACCUGGUCAAUGCAUGUGUAUAUUUGUUGUCAAUCGAACACGUUUCAUAAUUUUUUAAAAAAAUUUGGUAGUGAACUGACAAUACAAACGGCGUAGUGUCUCCAUUCAUAUUUGUUCUAUUUUAAAAUAUGUAUGUGCAUUGAGAAUCCUAACUAGACGAGGAAAGCACCUAACUAAGACGUUGGUACCCAGCUAGGAGACUGCAUCGCCGGUUUGUGUACAUUAACAUGAGAUAACAUUGGGUUAGUAUUUGAGUGUUUCAUCUGACUCCAUAUUUUGCCACUGACUUUAUGACUCGUAAAUGAUCCCCAACAAUGCAUAUGGCCUACAAACUUCAAGAUAAAUGCACCUCUUGAUAUAUAUUUUUCUCUUAUCCUCGUUAAACAUGAAAGUUAAUAUUCAGUGUGUAGCUAAAUAACUCAUACUUACCAAAUGAGGAAACGCUGAACCUGAAAAACAUCCGAGUUACAUUUGAAGCGUUAAAAUAAAACUUGGAAAUGUCGCUAUUCGGAGUAAAAACUUUCACGUGCUUGCUUAUUUAUUACAUUCAUUGCAUGAGAGCUGUCUCUCUAGCUAUCUCUCUUCUUCUUACCCCCUCUAUCAUACUCAAUCAAAA
rnacentral:lncRNA from 1 species